UGUUACGACUUCACCCCAGUCAUGAAUCACACCGUGGUAAACGCCCUCCCGAAGGUUAAGCUAUCUACUUCUGGUGCAACCCACUCCCAUGGUGUGACGGGCGGUGUGUACAAGGCCCGGGAACGUAUUCACCGCAACAUUCUGAUUUGCGAUUACUAGCGAUUCCGACUUCACGGAGUCGAGUUGCAGACUCCGAUCCGGACUACGACGCGCUUUUUGGGAUUCGCUCACUAUCGCUAGCUUGCAGCCCUCUGUACGCGCCAUUGUAGCACGUGUGUAGCCCUGGCCGUAAGGGCCAUGAUGACUUGACGUCAUCCCCACCUUCCU
rnacentral:rRNA from 1 species